UUCUUAGACCACAGCUGACUUACUUUCGCUGCUACCACACUAAAUCUGCAAACCAAUCAUACAACGGUCUCGACCACACUUUCCACUGAGCAACUUUUUCUCGCACUUUCCGCUUAGUCACCGUUAGUAGCGGCGCAACGCGCCACUGUGCGUUAGCAACAAACAUGCUCAAAGCAUUUAAAAAAAAAUACUUGUUACAUAGUCUUAUUAGCGAGGCGUCGCGAUGUAUUGAUUCGCUUAUGGCGUGGAGAGUAUGCGCGCAUGGCUCAUCGUAGUCGCUAAGCGUUAAGUGGGUACUACAUAGUAUUAAUUUUCUAUUAUUUUCGCGUGCCACACCAACAGCGGAGUGAAGAUCGAUCACAAAGCCAGCGUUACUGGUCCGCUCACCAAUUGACCGACUGACUCAUCGCCUUACAGCUGUUUGGGAGCGCGUACGAAUGAGCGUCACUUUCUUACAUGGCUUUGUUGUCACUCGACUUGCUAUUUUUUCGUGCUUUUAUACAAAUAGACGCGCAGUCAGCGACGAAGUGUUCAGCGGUUAACUUGUUUGGCUUGUGUGUUGAGUGCAUUCUACAACGCAACGCGGUUUCGGACGCCAUGGGCUGUGUAAAGAAAACAGUUAUUGCAGUUUUGUUGUCGCUUCUGGUGGUGGCGAUUAUUAUAUCGCUUUUUGUUGCCUUAAAUUAUGCAUAUGAUGAGGAGGAUGACGACGAGAUACCUGUCCUCAGUUGGAUUAUGAGUGCGUUUAAUUAGAAAAUGCUAUCUGAUGUGAUGGAAGUGAGGUGCAAGUGCCAAAUACAAACGAAUAUAGCAGCCUUAGUACUGCACUUAGUCAAUAUGACAAUUAAGUUAUUAAGUGCAAGUGCAUAUUGUGAUAGUUUAGUGCAAUUUAGCAUAAUUUUUCUUUAACAAAAAUAUUAUUUAUGUAUUUGAUGUGAAAUUUUGUGAAUUUCAGGCAUCUAAAUGUGUUUUGUUAAUAAGUACAAACCUGUAAAUAUUGUUUUUAAUGCUUAUUUUAUAAAUGUGUUAGUGCUUAUUUAUAAUUAAAUAUUAAAAGAAAAUAUUUAUUAUGAGUUGUGUUCGAAAAAAGCAUAAAUAUUAAAAAAAUAAUAUUAAACCCACAAACUCUAAAACCAAAACGAUGUAAAUAACCCUUAAUAGUUAUAAAUAAUAAUAAUAAUUGUAAAAUAUUGUAAAAAGUUUUAUAAUUUCACAAUUUUUAAUAUUUAAGCGCAAUAAAUUAUUAUAAAUUUCAUAAUAAAACGAAAUAUUUGAACUUUCUAAUUUCUAAACAAUUAACAUGUCACUGCGACUAAAUAUAAUUCUUCAGCACCACCAAGCGUGUGGGAUUUUUACAGUUUGAAUGAAAUGCACUACGCCAUGACUAAUGUUUGAGUUAAUUUUUCGACGCGCUCAAACGUGCAGUACUCUUGAGUCGCUUGGAUUUUGCACUCAAAUAUUUGCUUGCUGGCUUGUUGGCUGAUUUUUUUACAAACUGAAAUAAAAAUCGACUCAAAUAUUUUUCAAUUUUGUUGUAAUUUGCACCUGUGUUAUAACAUUUUGUGUUAUAUUGUUGUAAAUCAAGUUUUCGCUUGACAUGUAAUAAUGCUUUAUGGAAAUAUUGUAU